rnacentral:lncRNA from 1 species
UGGAAUCAAGGUUUUUGAUUAUGGUUUAGAUAGUUCUUCCGUAGAAAAAACAAAUGAUCAAGAGUCCUAUUCUAGAACAGAUACUGAAAUUGAUGGAGUGGAGGGUAAUAAUGAACCUAUGGCAGUCCAACUCCAAGAAAAUGCAGAAGUACAACCUACAGAAGUAGUGGAGGGUAAUAAUGAACCUAUGGCAGUCCAACCCCAAGAAGAUGCAGAAGUGCAACCUACUGAGGUACCUGUUUUGUCUGAGAGUCAUCAGUCUGAGGUUAACUUGGGAUCUCGUGAUAUUGAUGCUCAUGGGCACAU